AGUGAACGCUGGCGGUAGGCCUAACACAUGCAAGUCGAACGGCAGCACAGUAAGAGCUUGCUCUUACGGGUGGCGAGUGGCGGACGGGUGAGGAAUACAUCGGAAUCUACUUUUUCGUGGGGGAUAACGUAGGGAAACUUACGCUAAUACCGCAUACGACCUACGGGUGAAAGCAGGGGAUCUUCGGACCUUGCGCGAUUGAAUGAGCCGAUGUCGGAUUAGCUAGUUGGCGGGGUAAAGGCCCACCAAGGCGACGAUCCGUAGCUGGUCUGAGAGGAUGAUCAGCCACACUGGAACUGAGACACGGUCCAGACUCCUACGGGAGGCAGCAGUGGGGAAUAUUGGACAGUGGGCGCAACCCUGAUCCAGCCAUACCGCGUGGGUGAAGAAGGCCUUCGGGUUGUAAAGCCCUUUUGUUGGGAAAGAAAAGCAGCAGGUUAAUACCCCGCUGUUCUGACGGUACCCAAAGAAUAAGCACCGGCUAACUUCGUG
rnacentral:rRNA from 1 species